rnacentral:rRNA from 1 species
UACGUAGGGGGGCAAGCGUUGUCCGGAAUCAUUGGGCGUAAAGCGCGUGUAGGCGGCCCCGGUAAGUCCGCUGUGAAAGUCGGGGGGCUCAACCCUCGAAAGCCGGUGGAUACUGUCGGGCUAGAGUGCGGGGAGAGGCGAGUGGAAUUCCUGGUGUAGCGGUGAAAAUGCGCAGAUAUCAGGAAGAACACCAAUGGCGAAAAGCAGCUUUCUGGGGACGGUACUGACGCUGAGACGCGAAAAGCGUGGGGGAGCGAAACAGG